rnacentral:rRNA from 1 species
AGAGUUUGAUCCUGGCUCAGGAUGAACGCUGGCGGCAUGCCUAAUACAUGCAAGUCGAACGAGAGGAAGGAAAGCUUGCUUUUCUGAAUCUAGUGGCGAACGGGUGAGUAACACGUAGGUAACCUGCCCAUGUGCCCGGGAUAACUUCUGGAAACGGAUGCUAAAACCGGAUAGGUAGCAGACAAGCAUUUGACUGCUAUUAAAGUGGCCUUGGCCAUGAACAUGGAUGGACCUGCGGUGCAUUAGCUGGUUGGUGAGGUAACGGCCCACCAAGGCGACGAUGCAUAGCCGGCCUGAGAGGGCGGACGGCCACAUUGGGACUGAGACACGGCCCAAACUCCUACGGGAGGCAGCAGUAGGGAAUUUUCGUCAAUGGGGGGAACCCUGAACGAGCAAUGCCGCGUGAGUGAGGAAGGUCUUCGGAUCGUAAAGCUCUGUUGUAAGAGAAAAACGGCACUCAUAGGGAAUGAUGAGUGAGUGAUGGUAUCUUACCAGAAAGUCACGGCUAACUACGUGCCAGCAGCCGCGGUAAUACGUAGGUGGCGAGCGUUAUCCGGAAUGAUUGGGCGUAAAGGGUGCGUAGGUGGCAGAUCAAGUCUGGAGUAAAAGGUAUGGGCUCAACCCGUACUGGCUCUGGAAACUGAUCAGCUAGAGAACAGAAGAGGACGGCGGAACUCCAUGUGUAGCGGUAAAAUGCGUAGAUAUAUGGAAGAACACCGGUGGCGAAGGCGGCCGUCUGGUCUGGAUUCUGACACUGAAGCACGAAAGCGUGGGGAGCAAAUAGGAUUAGAUACCCUAGUAGUCCACGCCGUAAACGAUGAGAACUAGGUGUUGGGGGAAUAACUCAGUGCCGCAGUUAACGCAGUAAGUUCUCCGCCUGGGGAGUAUGCACGCAAGUGUGAAACUCAAAGGAAUUGACGGGGGCCCGCACAAGCGGUGGAGUAUGUGGUUUAAUUCGAAGCAACGCGAAGAACCUUACCAGGCCUUGACAUCCCUUGCAGAGGUAUAGAGAUAUAUCCGAGGUUAUCAAGGAGACAGGUGGUGCAUGGUUGUCGUCAGCUCGUGUCGUGAGAUGUUGGGUUAAGUCCCGCAACGAGCGCAACC